UACGGAGGGUGCAAGCGUUAUCCGGAUUCACUGGGUUUAAAGGGUGCGUAGGUGGGUAGGUAAGUCAGUGGUGAAAUCUCUGAGCUUAACUCAGAAACUGCCGUUGAUACUAUCUGUCUUGAAUAUAGUGGAGGUGAGCGGAAUAUGUCAUGUAGCGGUGAAAUGCUUAGAUAUGACAUAGAACACCAAUUGCGAAGGCAGCUUGCUACACUAUCAUUGACACUGAGGCACGAAAGCGUGGGGGAUCAAACAGG
rnacentral:rRNA from 1 species